UACGUAGGGCGCAAGCGUUGUCCGGAAUUAUUGGGCGUAAAGAGCUCGUAGGCGGCCUGUCGCGUCUGCUGUGAAAUCCCGGGGCUUAACCCCGGGCGUGCAGUGGAUACGGGCUGGCUGGAGGCAGGCAGGGGAGAACGGAAUUCCCGGUGUAGCGGUGAAAUGCGCAGAUAUCAGGAGGAACACCAAUUGCGAAGGCAGCUCGCUGGGACGUAACUGACGCUGAGACGCGAAAGCGUGGGGAGCAAACAGG
rnacentral:rRNA from 1 species